UACGUAGGGCGCAAGCGUUGUCCGGAAUUAUUGGGCGUAAAGAGCUCGUAGGCGGUUUGUCGCGUCUGCCGUGAAAGCCCGGGGCUCAACUCCGGGCCUGCAGUCGAUACGGGCUGGCUUGAGUGCGGUAGGGGAGACUGGAAUUCCUGGUGUAGCGGUGAAAUGCGCAGAUAUCAGGAGGAACACCGGUGGCGAAGGCGGGUCUCUGGGCCGUAACUGACGCUGAGGAGCGAAAGCGUGGGGAGCGAACAGG
rnacentral:rRNA from 1 species